rnacentral:lncRNA from 1 species
UGUUACACAUCAGUUGCCGUACAAAUGUACGACACAAAGCGUAUACUAGCUGAUCGAUAGGCGCAGGACCCUGUCCGGUUAUUAGGUGCACAGCAGCGUGGCACAAGGGCAAUAAGCGCGGUGACAGAGGCCGCCUGUGCCCCGCAACUAGCUCAAAAGUGCAUGUGCCCAGCAGAGUCCCUACGAAUUGAGUCGCGAUGCGAGGGUCCCGAACCUACAAGCUACAAAGAAACGACAAGCAUUUGCAACGCCGUACGUGCCGUCUGGGCGCUCCGUUGCAGUGCACUCCAGCCUACCCCUGCCUACUCCUGGACCGUGCGCCGAUUAAGAAUAUUGCAAGACAAGACAAGACAACAUUCGGUGAAGACCGUAUAUAACAUAAUAUUUAAAUUAU